AUGAACGCUGGCGGCGUGCUUAACACAUGCAAGUCGAACGGAAAGGCUCCUGCUUGCAGGGGUACUCGAGUGGCGAACGGGUGAGUAACACGUGGGUGAUCUGCCCUGCACUUCGGGAUAAGCCUGGGAAACUGGGUCUAAUACCGGAUAGGACGAUGGUUUGGAUGCCAUUGUGGAAAGUUUUUCGGUGUGGGAUGAGCUCGCGGCCUAUCAGCUUGUUGGUGGGGUAAUGGCCUACCAAGGCGUCGACGGGUAGCCGGCCUGAGAGGGUGUACGGCCACAUUGGGACUGAGAUACGGCCCAGACUCCUACGGGAGGCAGCAGUGGGGUAUAUUGCACAAUGGGCGCAAGCCUGAUGCAGCGACGCCGCGUGGGGGAUGACGGCCUUCGGGUUGUAAACUCCUUUCGCUAGGGACGAAGCGCAAGUGACGGUACCUGGAGAAGAAGCACCGGCUAACUACGUG
rnacentral:rRNA from 1 species